GCAGAAGAUAAAUCUUUUCUGAAUAUGAUCAAAUACAAAACUGGAUUAAAAUGAUUACAACUCUGGUUAUACAAAAUAAAACUGGACUCAAAUACAUCAACUCUACUAGCUGUCUAUGAAGCCUCUACUAAUAUUGACUAUAGAUAAACGGGACAUGACCCCCAGCUAUCUCUAAUCAAUACAACUUAAUAUAAAAAAAAUGAUACUGAAACUAUAGUUGGCUCGAGUCCUCGAAUCAAAAGAACUCAUCACCUGUUGAUUGAAAGUUGCGAAUUGUCUGACUAUAAUUUGCUACAAUUGAUAUCUACAUUAUGAGACAAUGUAGUACAGAGACAUAUUUGUAGAUCAGUACUUCUGGAAUGUACUGAGUAUGUGGAGGUGAAUGCAUAAAUAAAAACAAUAAAUUAAUGUACAUAUAAACCUUUAAACAAUGCAUGCUAAGUGUAAAUGACUCACCUUAAGCUUGAAUAACUGAAAGUUGAAAAUCAUAAAUAAUGAAGCAUACUGUAUAAAUCUUGUGAGCCAUCACACUUAGCUCUAAAAGUUGUACUUUUACUCUUUAUUUUGGGAGAUUUUUCUAACCGACAUAAACUAUAUGAGCUAUCAUGGAGUCCAACGUCUCUUACUCACGUUGGGAGAGUUGUUCUACCCUUGCCAUCGGAAUAAAACCUAACUAGAGUGAUCAUUAUGAUGAACCCAUAUUAGGACUUAAUUCUAUGGUGACACGUAGUUCUGAGGCAUCUAACCUUGGUCUCAUACCCAACUCGGUGCUAAAUACUACUUCCAUAUUACUUAUAUGCUCUCUCUUUAGGAAAUUCACCUUAAAAUAGCAUAAGGGUUUAUAGUGAAAAUCAAUUAUUCUUCUCUUUGUUUUAAAUCAUAAGUUGUAUGAAUAAUGUGGAUUCCUUAUCUUAGCUUAGGAUCAAAAGACCAAUUCUUGCUUAAAAUCUUGAUAUAAGUUUGUUUUAUCCUUUUUGGGAUUUCUUUUGGCGCGUUUUAUCCUUUUUGGGAUUUCUUUUGGCGAGAAAAUGAUUCUGACCUCUUAAAACUAUUUCAAAAGAUUCAAGAAAAUCUUGAAAUAAUUUAAGAAAAUUCACAGAGUCGCCACUUGAUUUUUAUAGGAAAAAAAUCAAGAAAACUUAAAAGAGUUUUAAAGGUUCAAAAAUAGAAAUAAACCUUUAGAACUAGGGAUACUGAGUAAGGGUUUAGUUAACGCCCUAAGAAGGUUUUUAAGACACUUAGGAGCAUCCGUUUAAAACGGUUUACCAAAAAAAAAAACUAAUUUGACUAACUAAAAGUGGUUAAUUUAGCAAAGACUUAAUUUUAUAGAAAACAUUAAAGUUAUUUACUUAAACAUGACAUUUAUUUAUUCGAAUGAGAAUUAUUCUAUUUGAAUUGAACUAAGUUGCAUUUUUUUUUGAAUUUCAAGAAGAAAAUGAUUUUUAUUUUUUAUGAAAAAGGAAGGAGAUUGCAUAGUUAUUUUCUUCUUAUUAUAGAAAAGUCAAUUUUAUGGAAAAUGCCUUUAAAAAGAUGCUAAGAGAAUGUUGAAAGUGCUUUGCUAAUUUUUGAAAAGUUGAUUUUCAAAAUAAAUUAGUUUCUUAAAUUUGAAGAUGAAUUUUUUAAGUUUGGAGAAAAUUACUUGAAUCCAAAUAAACUAUUAAUCACAUGAACAAAAUAAAUGUCAUCUUAAAACAAAAUAUGCACUUUGAGAAGGCUUGUUUUGAGGAGAAAAUCGAACGAACCUAUUUAAUUCGUUUUUAGACAAGAUAACUUAGGUGAAAAUUAUGAAUUAAAUAUAAGAAUACUAAGAUAAAAUAAAAUGGCAACACCUUGGGAAAUUUAUCUAGAUUAAUUGAUUUAAAGUAUUAGUUAAUACAAAUAAACAAUACUCUAUAAACUACAAAAAGUGAAUACAAGAAUUGAAAUUGGGCCCUUACUUGACCCAUUUUCAAAUCUGGACACCAUUGGUUUGGGGCCUAUUUAAAUGGUCCUUUUUUCAAAUUUCUUUCAGCUGUGUAUAUCAUCUGUAUAUCACAGCACCUUUUCUUCACGUUUUUCCGUAUAUUUACUAUAUAGUGAUAUGUAAAUGGUUGUAUAUUUGCUUCCAAAUUCACUAUGCAUCAUAUGUUGGCGUAUACAAACCACCUUCCACCUGAAAAACCCAUAUAUAUUGUGUAUAUGAGUGUAUAUCAGCCCUUUUGGACUUGAUUUUGAAGCAUAGACUUGAAAAUCCGGGCCUCCUUGGCCCUUUGAGGAGAUGUGGAGUUUUAGAGUCCCGUGGACUCAUAAGGAGAGUUCAUGCAAAGGAGAUGAUAAUGUAAGUUAGUAAAUUUAUCAAUACAUAAAGAAAGACAAAUUUAUUAAACAUGCAAAACAUUUAAUGGGAAUUCGUGAUAGGAAUAUAAACUCCACAAAUGAAAGAUCGUUUAACAUAUUAAAGAAAAUGAAAUGCAAGGUACGGGGAGUCCAGAUGGACUUGUUUCAGGCAGCUCAUGUGUAAAGAGAAAGCAAAAGAAAGUUAGCAAUAUGUCAAGAUUGUUGAUAAUCAGACAUAAAUUCAACACUGAGACAGUUUUAUCCUUAGCCAAACAUUAUUGAAAUAAUUACAAUCAAUUACCCAAAAAGAGAUUCGAUGAAGUAGCAAAAUUCAAAAGAGAUUAUUUCGUCAAAACGAAACUAACAAAUUUAUUAAUUUUAGUUAAAUUAAUUCCGAAAGGAGAUCCAAAAUGGCUAGUUACUUCAAAUACUUAAACAGUGUUCCAAUGAAAUUCUUCAAACUAAACAGUAGCAAAAAUUCCUUUAUCCAAAUCCUCAUCUCAAAGUAUGACGUACUUUCUACAACUAACUAUUUAAGCAAAAAAAUACAUCACUUUUUUUUAAACAAAUAGGCAUAUACUUUAACUAAGGAUUGACAAAGUAGCAAAGAAGUAAGCAACACACCCAUUUUUUAGAAAUAACGACAAGUAGACAUAUCACAUAUUUUAUAUAAUGACAAGAAGAUCUGGUCCAACUCAAAGUUUAAAUAGUUCAAAGAUAUAUUCGAAUCGACAAACACAUUUAAGUGAAAGUUAACAAUCAAUUUCAAAUUUCACAAAGAAGGGAUUAAAUCAAUAUCUUGAACUUGCACGAACCUGAAUGACUUUUAAAACAUAGCAAUGAACCCUUAGUCCGAACUUAUUCGUACCAUAUUGACAAAAUUUGUUAGCUUUACUUGAGAAAUUAUGCAACACAUAACAAGAGGGUUCAUACAGGACAAACGCAUGCCAAGAAACUUAUUAAUCGCAAAACAGAACAAAAUGUUUGAAGAGGCGAAUCUCUCGUGACUUUUUCAAACUAACGGCUUUAUCUAAACAGCUAAUAGGAACCAAAUAUAUGACAUAGUGAAAACAAAAGACUUGGUUUUGAAACACUAACCCCAACCAUACCUUUUAAUUUCUCAAAAAUCUUCAGGAGGAGCUUCCUGAACUAAAACUAAAGAAAAGUCCCAAAAUUCAAACUUUAUUCUUCGGAAGGACUAAUUCAAAGAGUUUGUUUAACAUAUCCUUAAGGCCUCAACUUUCAACACAUGGAUAUUUUAAUUAGAGGUAAAAAUGGUGAGUCAAACUAAAACAAAACAAUCAUUCAAGCUAAAUAAAACUACAGAUUAACGCUGAAAGAAAACAUCAUAACGCCGAAACAAUGAGUCGUGAAAUCAACUCAAGAAAUCAAACACAAAAUCUAUGGCUUUCGAAAAACAUUCUACAACAUAUAAUCUCACAAUUACGCUACUUGCACGAAGAAAAAAGAAGAGAUAAUGAGGGAAUUUAAAAAAGAAAAAAUGUGUUUACCUUUUUCGGGGCAAGAAACGGGACGACGAACCUUGACGACAAACUUCCACCACCGGCAAAACACAAUUCCAAUCUAUCAAAAUAAUAGUGACUUUGCUGGAUUUUAGUUUUCCGUCGGGAUUUCGGUUGUGUGAAGUUAGAGGCAUGCACCUCCAGAACUCCCAAAUUUUUAUCCAAAAUCCUCCUCCCCUUCAUUCUACAUUCGUGGGUAUUUAUAGGAUAUAUGAGACUGAUUUUUGGGGGAAACGAAGGGGUUAAGAGGAAAAACGAAUUAGGAUUUGAAUUUCAAAAUUUGAGAUAAGGUUUGACUGGAAUUUGUACGAAUUGAAACGUUGUUGCUGAGCUAGUUCUUUCCGUUGUUGUACUGUUGUUGCAUUGAAUUGUGGUUGUUAUUGUUGCGUUGGUUGCUGUUGCAGAUACGGGUUGUUGGGUUCGCUGGGUUAGAGCGGAUUUCGUCGUUUGUUGAAGUGGUUGUUAACGUUGGGAUGUUGAGAUUGCGUUAUACGAGUUGUGUGUCGAUGUUGUUGGCUGUUGUUGUUUGUUUGUACGGUCGGGUUAAGUGUUGUUGUUUGUGUUGAAAUUAAUCAAGGGGAAAAGAGUAGUG
rnacentral:lncRNA from 1 species